GACGAACGCCGGCGGCGUGCUUAACACAUGCAAGUCGAACGGAAAGGCCCUGCUUUUGUGGGGUGCUCGAGUGGCGAACGGGUGAGUAACACGUGAGUAACCUGCCCUUGACUUUGGGAUAACUUCAGGAAACUGGGGCUAAUACCGGAUAGGAGCUCCUGCUGCAUGGUGGGGGUUGGAAAGUUUCGGCGGUUGGGGAUAGACUCGCGGCUUAUCAGCUUGUUGGUGGGGUAGUGGCUUACCAAGGCUUUGACGGGUAGCCGGCCUGAGAGGGUGACCGGCCACAAUGGGACUGAGAGACGGCCCAGACUCCUACGGGAGGCAGCAGUGGGGAAUAUUGCACAAUGGGCGGAAGCCUGAUGCAACGACGCCGCGUGCGGGAUGACGGCCUACGGGUUGUAAACCGCUUUCGCCUGUGACGAAGCGUGAGUGACGGUAAUGGGUAAAGAAGCACCGGCUAACUACGUG
rnacentral:rRNA from 1 species